rnacentral:rRNA from 1 species
AGGACGAACGCUGGCGGCGUGCUUCACACAUGCAAGUCGAACGGGGCUCAUUCGGUGGUAACACCGGAGAAGGCCUAGUGGCGAACGGGUGCGUAACACGUGAAGAACCUGCCCCCGAAGACUGGGAUAACAGCGGGAAACCGCUGCUAAUACCGGAUGACCCCCACCAGGCCGCAUGGCCAGGUGAGGAAAUGGGCCUACCGCUUCGGGAGGGCUUCGCGGCCUAUCAGCUUGUUGGUGGGGUAACGGCCUACCAAGGCUACGACGGGUAGCUGGUCUGAGAGGACGACCAGCCACACUGGGACUGAGACACGGCCCAGACUCCUACGGGAGGCAGCAGUGGGGAAUCUUGCGCAAUGGGCGAAAGCCUGACGCAGCAACGCCGCGUGAGGGAUGAAGGUCUUCGGGUUGUAAACCUCUUUCGAGCAGGGACGAUUGUGACGGUACCUGCAGAAGAAGCUCCGGCCAACUACGUGCCAGCAGCCGCGGU